GGGUCUGGUUAAAUCCAGAGGUUUCUAAGAUGGUCGGGCCGCCUUCU
rnacentral:ncRNA from 2 species